ACCCGUGGCAUAUGGAGGUUCCCAGGUUAGGGUCGAAUUGGAGCUAUAGCUGCAGGCCUACACCACAGCCACAGCAACGCCAGAUUCGAGCUUCAUCUGUGAUCCACAAACACUGCUCACGACCACACCAGAUCCUUAACCCACUGAGCAAGGCCAGGGAUUGAACCCACAUCCUCAUAGAUACUAAUCUGGUUUGUUACCACUGAGCUACGAUGGGAACUCCCCUUUUUCUACGGUCUGUGAGGGUGGCUGCUGAAGCCUAACUUCCCUCAGAGGAGGUCACGUUUCAGCUGAGAGGAAAGUGGUGGUUGCUAGUUUCUUCAUUUCAACCUUCGAGUUAAAUUAACACCUUUCUAUUGCAUGGCCUUUCCUCCGAGAUAGUGUCUAGGAGGCUGAUAGGUGCUAUAGAACCAAUGCUUUAUUUGGGCCUGGAGAGGAAGGUCAUCACUGCCCGCCUCCUCCUGUGAAACAGAAAGCUCGCUCUCCCAGGGAUUUUGCUUAAGGUCUAGUUCAUUUAGAAGUAGGAGCAUUUAUUACAUUAAUAUUUUCUCACAGAUUUUAUCUGAAAGGAUCCAAAGUCAUGCCUCUCUUUCUUUCGCAGCUUAUCGCAUUCAUGUCAGUCACAGCACAGUGACAAUCCUCCGAACCCUGAGGGAGGGCUAUGAAGUGGAGCUUAGAGGAAGGACAGAGCUCAAAGUAUAAGGUCCUUUUGUUUUUUGAGUCCAACCACUUGGACACACCUGCUUCUAGAGAGCUCACGGUCUGCCGAGAGAGUUUCUGAGUGUCUGAGACAUGGAGCUAUCAUUUGGACAGAAUUUCCAGCUCUGUUGGUGGUUCCCAAAAGAUUAUUCCCCUUUGCCUCAGUUUUCAUUUCCUUAAAACAUGGCUACAGUGAGGAUUGUUAAAAGUCCCUCUGCGCAUUUUAGACUAGGAGUUGCAUUUUUUUUUCUGUCCUAAAAAAUGCCCAGAAUUUGGCAUUUCAGUGAGCUGCCCUAUUAUUUUCAUUUUCUAACUUCCAUUUCAUUUAGUACUUAGCAGUGCCAGGCAUUGUUCAGUAAGGUACAGUAUUGGCGAUUUGGGGUUUUCUGUCCAUCUGCUUGGUGGCCUCCCUUUCUGACUUUGCAUUCACAACACUGACCCCAUGUUUACAGAGACGCUUUAUAGCUUUCCCCAAGGACCAGGAGGAAUAAAGUCAGUUCUGAUGAAAGACAAACAUUUUGUAGUGCCUUUUCUCUGCUGGGAUUAUCACUUGAUCUGGGAUUCAGGAUUAGAGUCAUUUUCAUUUUUCUUUCUUUCUUUCUUUCUUUUUUUUUUUUGCUAUGUCCACUGGAUUCUUUUCAUCUUCCUCUGGAUGACCCCAGGGCCCCUAGCUGUCCCCAUUUUAAGAGACCCUAGAGAGUCGAUAAUUUAACUCCUUCAUUUCCAGAUGAAGAGCCAAGGCUCAAAAAGGUGAAGUUAAUUUGAUCAGGGUUACCUAGCCAAUUGAUAAUAGAAUCAAGCCAUAACCCAGGAAACCUAAAUUUUCACUUAGUACUCUUUCUAUGAUACCAUUGUGCAUGAAAAUUAUUUCCUCAGUGAUUAUUCUUGGGCAAAGCAAGAUCUGGGCACUGAGUGAUAGGCAAUUUGUUUCUGUCACUGGUAUGCCUUCCUUAAAUGGGGUGAUUUACUUAUAAAGGGAUUUCAGAAGUCAAAGAUUGGAAGGCCUGAUUCUAGUUGAUCAACUAAUUCCUUUUAUGACUAGUCCUAGUUUGUCUCUUCUAAUAGAUCCUUAAUAUCUUCUAGCAGAGGGGAUGGGUCACUUAUUAGGGGACAGAAGUUCCUUUCUCACCUCUGAUGAGGGUGGCAAUAUUCUUUGGGCAAUGAAUCAGAUCACCCAAGGCUUUUGUGAUCUCUCUAUAUAUUCAGUCAUUUCUCAGCAGGGGACAAAGGUGGCUUGGUUUCCUGAAGCAUUUGACUCCCUGUAUUACUAGACACAGAUUUCCUCAUUUAAGAGCUGAAGAGGUGCCAUUUUUGAAACUGAAAAAGAAAAAUACGCCCCCACCUCCAUGGUUUUUAUUGUCCUCCUCCCCCAAAUACCAGUCAGGAGCAAUCACAUCUUUGGGUGGUUAACACACAAAAGCAGGACUACAAAAGGGCCCUUUGCAGCUUCACAGUUUCUCCUACCGCAGGGAAUUUGAAGGAAGAGGCAGGGGGAGGCUUCCCCUAAGGUCACAUCAGGCCUUGGUUAUUGGGGCUGUAGGCACCUCCUGAGCAAGAGAGAUUGAGAGGGAGAUACUGAGAGAGAAGAAUAGAGGGCGCCCCAGAGGAAAGGAAGGGCCAAUGAGAAGAAGGGUAAGAACAGAAAGUAAGACUCAAAGAAAGGACUCUAUACCCCCACCUCCCCACCAGAAGCAGGUAUUGGAUAUUAUAUAGUAGGGACUGGGCGACAGAGGAUUCCUUCUCCCUUGACGGCAUGCAAGUAUCCCCAGUAAGACGAUAUUACCAGCAGACUUUUUUUUUUUUUUUUGGUCUUUUUAGGGCUGCACCCGUGGUAUACGGAGGUUUCUAGGCUAGGGAUCAAAUGGGAGAUGUAGCCACUGGCCUACACCACAGCCACAGCAAUGUGGGAUCGGAGCUGCAUCUGCAUCCUACAUCACAGCUUAUGGCAAUGCCAGAUCCUUAACCCACUGAGUGGGGCCAGGGAUUGAACCUGCAACCUCGUGGUUCCUAGUCAGAUUUGCUACUGCUGAGCCAUGAUGGGAACUCCAUCAGCACACUUUAGAAAUUCUAAUUCAACAUCUCCACCCCUCAUCCACUUCCUGCUGCUGGAAAGCAAGAAUCCCUCUAGUGCAUAGGUCAGAAGGACCACAUUUGAUGGCUAGCCAGGUGUGAUUUCAAAACUGAUGGUUAGAAACAUCCUCUCCUUCCAGCUGGCUGAUGUUUAGAAUUCGUUCAUCAGAGCCUCUUCUCUUAAGCUCAAGGCUUGGAUCCAGCAACAAUACUCUUUUCUCUCAUCCCAUCUCCUUCAUUGGAAUGAUGACACUUUAAGUUGUUUCCCUCAGUGGAAUCAAAGAUGUUGACUGGAUUGGCUGAGAGAAGAGAACACCGAGCAGUUGACUAAUUGGCUGGGUGGGGGAUACAAAGAAAGAGACCAAAACGAGGACGCUUUAGAGCUCACAUUCUCUGGGUGGCUAUCCAGCUGCCCACUCCAACCUGCUCUUGUACGAUACUAGCAGCAAACCAUCAGUGCUUAACUGGCCAGUUCUGCUUUUUUUCAAUAUUUUCUCCUAGUGGCCUGCUGAUAAGUCAUUUUAUUACCUCUUCUCUGACAUGGGGAAUGAGUCCUGUGUAAGUUACUGUUUUCUGGACAAAUCUGAAACUCCUUGCUGAGACUUUGUAUACAUCUAGGCUUGUCACAUAUAUCUGCCAGGGCCUCUUAGGUAGAAUUACAUUCUGAGAAGUUUUUUUCCUAAAUGGUUGUUCUCAACCUGUUUAUGUUGUCCUUACCAGAGGUGGACAUUUAUUUAUUUGUUUGUUUGUUUUCAUUAUAGUUGAUUUACAGUGUUCUGCCAAUUUCUGCUGUACAGUAAAGGGAUCCAGCCAUAUACAUAUAUACAUUCUUUUUCACACAUUAUCCCCCAUUCUGUUCCAUCACAAGUGAUUGGAUAUAGUUCCCUGUGCUGUACAGCAGGAUCUCAUUGCUUAUCGAGAAGGUCUGAUCUGCAAUUCUUGUCCCAUCAAUGACUCAAUGUGUGACAUUGGACAGGUAACUUCAUCCUCUCUGUGCUUUCAUUUCUCAGCAUAGAGGCCUCUUUUGGCCUGUGAUUAUCAGGAAGCUCAUUGAUCACAAGCUUUAAAAGUCCCAACAGUUGCUUUUUGGCCUGUAGACCUGCCCCUUGAUUCCGGUGUGUUGGAAAAGCUAUGUGGUAUAUAAGAAAGAAUAUUUUUUCUCCUUUUUUGGUUGCCCCACAGCAUCUGGAGUUCCUGUGUCCAGGGUCAGAUCUGAGCCACAGUCGUGACCUAAUCCACAACUGCAGCAAAAUGCCAGAUCCUUAACCCACAGUGGUGGGCUGGGAAUUGAACCUGCAUUCCAACGCUCCCAAGACACUGCCGAUCCUUUGCCCCACAGCAGGAACUCCGAGGGAAGAACAUUUAAAAUUCGGAGUCUAAGGUGUUAACUAGGCUUAUUGUGGUGAUCAUUUCACAAUAUAUACAAAUUUCAAAUCAUUUUGUUGUAUACCUAAAACUAGUAUAAUGUUGUAUGUCAAUUAUGCCUCAAUAAAAUAUAGCUAAGUCAUAGCAAAAAAUAAAUAAAAUUUGGAGUCCAGUAGAGUUAGGUUCAAGUCCCAGCUAUGCCUGCCUAUUGACAAGUCAUUUUAUCACCAUGAACCUCAGGGGCCCCAUUUGUGCAAUGAGUUAAUAAUAAACCUACUUUCCAGAGUUUUUGUGAGGAUUAAAUAAGACAGGAGAUGUCAAGUAAGGCCAAAGUAAGGUGCUAUUAUUUGGGGGAUGGGUCUCUGGGACUGCCUAGGGAUAGAGAGUGAGUCAAAGAGUUUGCUUUAGGUUUUAGUUGUUGCAUACUUGUUUCUCUCCUCUCUCCCUUCAGCAGAAUUUUGGAAGUAGGUCGGGUAAACAGAGAGCUAGGAUUCUAAGAAUUCUCCUGGAUGGGCUCCAAAACCUCAGAGAGCCCCUGGAGCUCCCGUGUCUACUCUUUGAUUUGGAAACUUGCCUGAGUCCAUAAUACUCCCAUCCUAUUUUGCAACCAUUAUUUUUGGCAUCCUGGUAUGUCCCAGGACUCACCCAAAUAUCAGGAUAACCCUGGCAUUGGCAAAGCUCCCUUGGGGAUUGGCAUGCUGUCCUGAUAGCCUCUAGCUCUCAAGACAAGCAGUCAAAUAUGGCUGGGGCUUGAGGUCAAGUUUUGAGAAUAGGUUUUACCAAAAUGAGGUCCAACGACAACUUGAGUAUUCCAAGUAUUCAAGGGUUGAGAGUUUCACUUAAUGGAACAGUCUGUCUUUACUGAGCACCUGUUCUAUACGAGACAUUGUAUUAGGUGUGGUGAGGAAAAGGGAGCAUUUCAGAGGCAGACCACUUGGGCUUCUGUUUAGGACCUAAGACAUGGCCUGACAGUUGUUUUUACUUAACUAUACUAUGAGCUCCUUAAGGAUGGAGCCAUGACUGUAUUCCCAACUUUGGUAUAAGAAGUGUGGGAUAAAUGUAGAAAUGAGUGAUAUGAGUAUAAUUUCCUGAAAAGAGUGGCUCAAAAUAGUCCAGUUAUCUGAGGUUUAGGGUGGGCUGGUUUCCUGUUCAUGGAAGUUUGGUUCUUGUG
rnacentral:lncRNA from 1 species